rnacentral:rRNA from 1 species
UACGGAGGGUGCGAACGUUAAUCGGAAUUACUGGGCGUAAAGCGUGCGCAGGCGGUUUCUUAAGUCAGAUGUGAAAGCCCCGGGCUUAACCUGGGAACUGCGUUUGAAACUGGGAGACUUGAGUGUGGCAGAGGGGGGUGGAAUUCCACGUGUAGCAGUGAAAUGCGUAGAUAUGUGGAGGAACACCGAUGGCGAAGGCAGCCCCCUGGGUUAACACUGACGCUCAUGCACGAAAGCGUGGGGAGCAAACAGG